UACGGGGGGGAGCAAGCGUUGUUCGGAUUUACUGGGCGUAAAGGGCGCGUAGGCGGCGCAACAAGUCACUUGUGAAAUCUCCGGGCUUAACCCGGAGCGGUCAAGUGAUACUGUCGUGCUAGAGUGCGGAAGGGGCUACUGGAAUUCUCGGUGUAGCGGUGAAAUGCGUAGAUAUCGGGAAGAACACCCAUGGCGAAGGCAGCUCUCUGGGACGGUACUGACGCUGAGGCGCGAAAGCCAGGGGAGCAAACGGG
rnacentral:rRNA from 1 species